ACGCGUACCGUACGCAGGCUUCGCCGUCGAUUUAACGCGGAACCAUAAAUCAGACUUCACACGUGUCAAUUGUUGACGUUUUUUUCCAGGAAUAUGAUUGACUUUAUCUUCUCGUUACACUGCCCCCUGUAGGUUUGGCAGCUCAUAGCACCUUAACAGCUAUUUAUGCGGGUUUGUGUAAAUGAAGAGAUUUUGAAAACAAUGGAAUUUUUCAAAACGUAGAGGGGGAAAUAUCCGUUUUUGUAAAUACCCGGCUAUGUGUAAACGUGGCCUAAAACGGACUGGGAGCCAGUGAAGGGACUUUAAAAUUGGUGUGAUACAUGUAUGUUCUCUCUGGCGGCAAUCAGGCUGAUUGUCUGCACCUGGCGCAUGCGCACGCAGCGACAGGCAGCGAGAGUUUUGUGGCGUCUUUGUCUCCUGUCUUUGCCUUGUCUCAGGUGUUUUUUAACUGUUUUUAGUGCUGCUAUUCCGAAAUGGAUAUUUUAUACAUUGUCCUGUCGUGGAUUUUAUCAUGUGUGCUGCUUGCCCGCGACACGAACCAGGCAGCCAACCGAGACAGAAUCCAGUACAGCAGAGAGCUGUUGUUUCAGCUGAACCCAGCGAGCCUGCCGAGCGGAGCAGAUGUAGCAAAGCUAUCGGACUUCAUACAAAGAGACUUUAACGAAACCUGUCACUCGACAAGGGAAAGGAAAAGGAGAAAACGAGGAAAACGCGGAGGGGUCCGACUUCGUUUAAGGAAGCAGCGCCUGACCCGGAUCCCCUUGCCUUCUAUGAUUCUGGGGAAUGUGCAGUCGCUCAGAAACAAGGUGGACGAGCUCCAGGGGAACGUCCGGUUCCAGAAGGACUACGGGGAAUGCUGUGUCCUGGCCUUAACGGAGACCUGGCUGACCGACCGUGACCAGAACCAUGACCUGCUCAUUGACGGCUUUGGGCCUCCCAUCCGGCUGGACCGGCAGGCCGAAGCAACGGGAAAAACUCUCGGCGGUGGGGUAUGUUUGUAUCUCAACAGACGAUACUGUAACUCUGUGACUGUGAGAGAAAGUAUCUGCACCUCGGACAUUGAACUUCUGUCUGUGUCACUACGUCCCUAUUAUCUGCCACGUGAGUUCCCCCAAAUCUUCUUAACAGUUGUGUACAUUCACCCGAAGGCAAAUGCCGCCACUGCUUCUGGUGUGAUCUUUGAUGUGGUGCAAAAACUGCAGUCGAUUUCUCCUGAUGCGCCAAACUUUAUUCUGGGAGAUUUUAAUCAUGUCUCCUUGAAAAAGACACUGAGAAACUUUUACCAGUAUGUCUCCUGUCCAACCAGGCGGGGUAAGACACUGGACCUUUGCUAUGGUUCAGUGAAAGAUGCCUAUAAAUCAGUUCCACUUCCCCCAUUGGGCUCCGCAGACCAUAACUGCGUGCAUCUAUUGCCCACAUACCAAACUGUCUUGAAGAGGGAGAAGGUACAAACCAAGGAAAUAAAAGACUGGACCGAGGAAUCUGUUAUGUGCCUUCAGGAGUGUUAUGAUUGCACAGACUGGAACGUGUUUAAAGAAUCCUGUGGUGAUGACUUGGAUGAAUUGACUGAUGUAAUUUGUUCAUAUGUGACUUUUUGUAGAGACAUGAUCAUUCCCUGUAAACAAGUCAAAAUCUACCCAAAUAACAAACCAUGGGUAAAUAAGUCCGUAAAAGACUGUAUACAGAAGAAGAAAAAUGCUUUUAAGCAAGGAGUCGCCUCUGACUUACAUAUGGCCACUAAGGAGUUGAAAACUGAAAUUUUAAAAGCUAAACAGAGAUACAAGUCCAAACUUGAAGAUAAGAUGGCCGCAAAUAACCUUGGCUCAGCUUGGUCCUGCAUGAAAACAAUUGCGGGCAUCCAGAGUCAAGGGAAUAACAGCCAUGUUUCCUUAGAGGGUUUUAAGUCUGAUUGUGAGCUUGCCAAUGCUCUUAAUUGCUUUUACACUCGUUUUGAUAACACGGAUUUUAGUUUGAAGGUUCAGGAACUUCAAAACAAACUUAGGAACAACCAGCAUUUUAACAUCACAUGUAGAGAUGUUGAAAAGGUUUUUUACAAAACAAAAGUCAACAAAAGUCAAGGCCCAGAUAAUAUAUGUGGACGCUUGAUUAAAUCUUGUACAAAAGAGCUGAGUCCCAUAUUCCACUACAUUUUUAAUAAAUCCCUGCAGACACAAUAUGUCCCAAAGGUCUGGAAGGAUGCUAUAGUGGUCCCAGUACCUAAAUCUAGUGGCCCCAAAAUUUUUAAUGAUUUUAGACCAGUUGCUUUGACCUCAAUUUUAAUGAAAAACUUUGAGAAACUGGUAAGGUCAGAGAUCUUAAAAAUUACUAAAAAUGCUCUUGACCCCAUGCAGUUUGCCUACAGGCAACACAGGGGAGUAGAGGAUGCCACAACCACCUUGCUCCACCUGCUCUUUAAGCAUCUGGAGGGAAGUGGAUCUCAUGCUCGAAUUCUUUUUAUACCAUCCAACCACACAUUUUAGCCAAGCGCCUUUUAGAACAAUUCAAUUUUAAUUCUAAUCUUGUGGGCUGGAUUUUGGAUUUUUUAACUAACAGGACACAGAGAGUAAGGGUGAACGGGGUCCUGUCUGGUCAGCUUCAUAGCUCCACAGGCUCCCCACAAGGAUGCGUCCUCUCUCCACUUCUGUUCAUUCUUUACACAAACAUGUGCCAGAGCAAAUAUCAAAACAGGACUAUUAUUAAGUAUGCAGAUGAUUCCGUUAUUGUUAGUCUGCUCCAAAGGAAUGAAAGAGGCCAUGGCCCUAUAGUUGAUGACUUUGUGCAGUGGUGUGAAGAGUCACAUCUUCAAAUUAACAUAUCGAAAACAAAGGAAAUGUUAAUUGAUUUUAGCAAACAAAUCCACACAUAUGAUGCCACAACCAUAAGAGGUCAGUUAGUGGAAUGUGUGGAAUCCUACAAAUAUCUUGGGACUAUUAUUGAUUUUAAACUGAACUUUCAAGAAAACUGUGAAACUGUGUGUAAAAAAGGACAACAGCGUCUGCACUGUCUGAGAAAACUGUCUUACUGGAAUGUUGACAGAACCAUGAUGAUUCUUUUUUAUCGUGCCUUUAUUGAGUCUAUUUUAUCUUUUUCUUUGGUGUCAUGGUUUGGAAGCCUUUCUAUUAAAAACAAGAAGGCAUUGAAUCAAAUUGUGAAAUGGUCAAGUAAGCUGAUAGGUGAGCCACAGCUGAACCCUUCUUCCCUGUACACCAGGCAGUUACAGCGGAUAGCCACGACCAUUUUAAAUGAUAGUUUACACCCUUUGCACAGUGAAUUUCAGUUUCUCCCCUCUGGACGGAGGUUGUCAGUCCCAUUUUGUAAAACUAAACGUUAUAAAAACAGCUUUGUUCCAGCUGCAGUAACACUGAUGAACAAGCUGUAGUUUGCACAAAAGUUGCACAAGUCACUUUUCGGAGCACGAUGUAUUUUACAAUGUUUUUAUAUUGCUCUUAUCCAUUCCUAACUUGGAGGAAAUUUUGCUCUUGGUGUUUUAAUUCUUUUUUAGCCUCAUGUCUUUUAUCUCUUAUAUUUAUUUCAUGAACUGCAGCACUUUUUGUCGAGCCGAAGCUGUCUCUUGUUUUAUGUGUAUGUGUUCUUCUUAAAUGUCUUGUUCCUGAACUGAUUGUAUGUUUUCUGCUGCUUGUUUUAACUCUCGACUGCAAAACCAGUUUACCCUUGGGUAUCAAUAAAGUAACCUGAACCUGAACCUGAACCUGUUGGACCGGGUAAUGAGUCUGGCUGCUGCAUUUUGAAUUAACUGUAGUUUAUGGUCAUGGUAACAAGCCCCAUAGGAUUGAAUGGGCCCAUUUGGCUUUAAAUUUCUCAAAAACUGUAAAAUGCAGCCUAAUGAGGCCUUAGUUUGUUGUGGUCCACAGCGUCCAGAGUCUUUUAUCGUUGGAUUGAUGUCUCUACGGUAACGUGUUGCCGAGCAACAGGCGUCCAAAAUUCCAUUAGCAUCAAAAUUAGCAUAGUUAAAUAUCUCAAAAACCGUAAAAGCCAGCAUAAUGAGACUGAAAUAUGUUGUAUUUGUGACUUUAGCUUGCCAGCAAAAUGGGGGGGGUUUCUAGUUUUUUCUGGCGUUUUCUUUCGCAAUUUCUUUUUCAAGGAGGUUCUUGGCAGUUUUUUUGGCUAAAGAAAGGCUUGUGCUGGAUCGCAAUAUGGGCUUGCCACUACUGGCAUGUUCAUAACAAUGUAAUUAAUAGAGUUGAAGUAGAAAAAGAAGUGUGGGAAACAUUCAUCACGGGAGAUACCUCAGCAGUCUAGGCUUGUAGCAACCAAACUAAGGAAUGUCUCACGGUUUCCUGAGCCAUCCCAACCUAUAAGCUUUAUCAAAAAGGAACGUUUUAAGCGUAUUGUUAAAGGAAAUCUUGAAAAUGUUGAGAAGGUGACAUCCAUGCAAGCCAACAAUAAUCCAGAGGCUCAGCAGAAGAGAAGUAUUUCAGUAUCAUACCUAUCCAAAGCACAAACCAUAAUGACUUAUAGUUACACGUUACUGAGAAUAAAAAGCAAAAACGACAUCAUCAUAAAAGACAUUACUUUUGCAACCUUUCCUUUUUAUUCACUCUGGAGUCGAGUAAAGAACAAAUCAUCCCAAACCACCAUCAGGUGACAAGUUUUGUUUUUUGAGUAGUCACCACAAUUUGUCCAUAAAAUGUGUUCAGUUGUGGCAUCUCUUAUUGUUUCCAAAAGUUCUAAAACUCCACUGUCCACCAUAGAAUGAAUGUAGUUAUUGAGGCGAAAUACAAGUUUGAAUCUCUUCACACUGCAUAAUAACACUACUACAUCAGCAGGUCUCGCCUAUUAUUGGUUCAUCUUUUUACUGCAUUUAUGAAGUCUGCCUUAGUCCAGGUUGCAUGAACAGGGUGUGGUGCAGCGCUGCAGGCUGUUGACUUUCCUCUCCUAUUUAAGCCGCCACAUACACUCUCUUCUGCACCGUGUGGACUCAGUUUUGCAUUGGAACAACGGACACUCUGAAAAUGGAGAGAGAAUUAUCCGGUCUGGAAAUUGCCGUGGCUGCCAUGUUCGGCGUCUUCAUGUCACGCAGAGGACCAGAUGGAAAACUGAGCAAAGAUGCCUUUUUAAAAUUAGUGAAGGAAGAAAUGUCAAUGUACGAUCAGGGAAUGGGAGACGAGAUGUUCAAAGAUAUUGACCGGAACAAGGACGGAUCUGUGGAGUUCAAGGAGUUUGCAAGGCUGGUUGCCACAAUGGCCUCAAGUAGCUACAAAAUCCUGGAGUCAGCAGUGAAGCAAAUGGAAAAUAAAAAGAAAUGAACGUGCAAACCAUUGCUGAAGAAAUAAAAACAUCAUCAUCCGACUUACUUCAGAAUCAGAAAUACUUUUUACUUUUAUUGAUCUCCAAGGGGAAAUUGCCUUUUUUGGUUUCACAAUGAAGUAAUAAAAGCUUGUUUUAUGCCAA